rnacentral:rRNA from 1 species
GAUGAACGCUGGCGGCGUGCCUAAUACAUGCAAGUCGAGCGAACAGAUGAGGAGCUUGCUCCUCUGACGUUAGCGGCGGACGGGUGAGUAACACGUGGAUAACCUACCUAUAAGACUGGGAUAACUUCGGGAAACCGGAGCUAAUACCGGAUAAUAUAUUGAACCGCAUGGUUCAAUAGUGAAAGACGGUUUUGCUGUCACUUAUAGAUGGAUCCGCGCCGCAUUAGCUAGUUGGUAAGGUAACGGCUUACCAAGGCAACGAUGCGUAGCCGACCUGAGAGGGUGAUCGGCCACACUGGAACUGAGACACGGUCCAGACUCCUACGGGAGGCAGCAUUAGGGAAUCUUCCACAAUGGGCGAAAGCCUGACGGAGCAACGCCGCGUGAGUGAUGAAGGUCUUCGGAUCGUAAAACUCUGUUAUUAGGGAAGAACAAAUGUGUAAGUAACUAUGCACGUCUUGACGGUACCUAAUCAGAAAGCCACGGCUAACUACGUG